GAAUAUGCAGCUCACAAGCCAUAUUGUUUAGGAAGGGUUCUUCUCUGCAUUUACUUUAUUUUAUUGUCCCGUUUCUAUUUUUAUUUUUUGAGAUGGAUCGUGCCAAGUUGCCCAGGCUGCCCUCACACUCCUGCUCCUCUUGCCCCAGCCUCCUGAGCACCUGAACCACAGGUCCAGCGUCACCACACGGCUCUGGUUCCACUUCUCUACGGGGUGCUCCCCAGCAUGAUGUCCCUUCGGUCAUCACCAGAGUUUUCAAAGCCUGGGUCACCCUCCUCUUACAGACGAGGGAACGGCGGUCUGAGAAGUUUACCACCUUUCCGUGAAGGAUGGCCUGAGUCCACAUCUGCUCAUCUGGCUCCAGCUCUUGUGGUCUUGGGUUCCUCCGUCCUCCAUCGUCUCUCAGAGUCACUGCAGGGCCAGCGUUGGAUCUCUCUGUGGCUGCAGAGCAAGCAGCACCAUGCAAUGUCAGGCAAAGGCCAAAUUGGACCUUCAGAUGCCACUGGGCUUUUCCACUGCCG
rnacentral:lncRNA from 1 species